CAAUUGUUAUCAAUAUCCUUCCCAGACCCGUCGUCUUUUUUCUCCUUGGCCGACGACGAGUCAAAGGCAAAAAAUGUGUCUUUGCUCUGUGUUUCUUGCGUGUCUUCUGUCACAGACUACUCUUCUGUGUGCUUCUUUUCGGUCUCCAACCCGCAAAAAUUUCAUUCAUUACAUCGCUUGUUGCAUUU
ensembl:ncRNA B0416.9 ncRNA